CCCUCUUCGCGUGCUAGAUUUCGUUUCAAUUCCGACCGAUUCUCCGCUGGUUGAUCUUGCCUGCUGCGGUUCCUUUGCUCUUCUGGCGUUUCCUUUUUUUGCUAAUCACGCUAAUCACGCUAUUAUUUCGGCGAUCUAGGUCUGGAGGGGCUGGUUCUUUGGUGGGAUCCCUUCGCCUGUUCGUUCGGCCGGCGCGGCCGGCGCGGCCGGCUGGUUUCCCUGAGGUUGCAGGCUGGUGAUUAUGGUUUUGUUAUGCUUAUCUGGAGAGGUAGGAACCUGGUUUAGCCUGCCUCGCUAUGCUUACAAGCUUAGAUCAUUUCAGAACAUACUUGCAAACGUGGGUGAUAAGACUUAUCUUGCAGAUGUGAUUGGCGUUGUGACGGGUGUUUCUUCCCUUGUGAGCAUCGAUGUGAAGGGACAUUCUACUUCUAAGUGCACUCUCUGCCU